rnacentral:lncRNA from 1 species
AUGGGAGGUAUGAAAGGAAAUUUAUCCUGUAGAUGUAGAAUUUGUUUGAAUUUCAGACAUAACCAGGAGACAAAAAGGAGAAGCCACAAGAUGCUCUCCCACCUUCUCCAGCAAGAGGCAACCACCUACCUACCUUCACCUUUGUUACUACCACCAUCACCUAUAAAAAGUACAGCUUUGGCCUUGAAAUGUUGGCAAGAGGUAACUGGAAGAACUGAGAAUAUGACAAGUCUGGAGAAUCAGGGUGGAGGUGGAGUCCCAGGGGAAGGACAGAGCUGGUGAGAUCCAGCAAACUCCCAGGUAUCUACUAGACCUCAAUUUCCCUAACUGUGGGUGGCACCCAUUAUGGGUCAUUAAAUUAAUUUAGUAAGCGACAAUCCACAUUUUUUUAACGAAAGAGAAUGGAGUAGAGCAGAAAACAGUAGUGCAAGUAGUUAAGACAAGUAGUGUUUAUUGAAAAUUGUUUUUUUUUAACAUAUAGAUGUAUGUGUGAGUAAUAGUUGUAGCAGUCAAAAGUUUUUGAAAGCCUUUUACUAGACCAAGAUGAAGCAUUAGCAUUUCUCUGUGUUGUACCCCUUCUUCAAAAGGAUGUAUUCGGAUGUAGGUGUGUGCGGGUGUGGGUGGAUUGCAGGGGUGUGUGUGUGUGUGUGUGUGUGUGUGUGUGUGUGUGUCAGAGAGAGAAUGUGCACAAGAGCACAAGCGUUCACAUAUACAUAUAACCACCCUGAAAGCAUUUCAGAAAAGGAACAUCUUGAGAGAAACGAAGAAACCCCCACCCAAAAGGAAUGCCCUAAGUCUAAAGAUAUUUAUUUCAAGGGCAAACUUUUAAGUACUUAUCAGUACUGUAUUUGUAUUAUACUCAAUAAAUAGUAGUGUUUAUUGAGACCUUACUGUACUCCACAUUUAAUCCUUAUAACAACCUUAUGAAAUGAAAACAAACACCAACAAUACUAAGAAACCCCUAGAUCAACAAACGUCUCAGAUUUAAAAUCUACAGAGGACAGGUGACCCUCCUUCCCUGUCCUCUCUCCUUCUCUCUGUCCCUGUUUCAUAUCUCAGGAAGAGAACAGAAGAAUGGCAAAAGAGAAGGAGAAAGAAAAGCCACUGAAAUAGAACAGAUGGGAACAAGGAGAGUAGGAGAGAAGAAGGUGAUAAAAGGGAAAAAGAGGAAUAUUAAACACAGUUGACAUACCAUAUGUCUCUAAUAAAUGAUCGUUUUGCAUGUAAAAUCUUGCAAGGAGCUCUGUAAGGGGACUCCAUGGUUGAAGGAGGGGUUGAGAAGGGCAGAGGGGAGUGGCGUGCCAAAACAACCUCUGCUCCCUCAUUUCACUCAGUCUGUCUUGUCUACACACAUGCAUCCGAUCUGGCAUGAAAACCCGCUACAGACGGACUGCUUCUGUGAAAACCAGUGCUGAGGUACUGAUAUCAGCAUCUUGGGCAGGGGGAGCCUGGAGUCCUAAAUUUCCCCCCUCAGGGGAGCCCUCUAUAUCUGAUUUCUGUGACGCAUGCCAGAAGGCUUUGGCUCAAUGUUAACGACUUUCUUCCUUUUGAAUUCCUGUGAGAUGUUAUUCCUUUUGGUUUCCAGGAGUUGUGUGCCAGGGUGAUUUCAGCCCAGUAACAACUUUCACUAUGAUAAAAAGCAACUAUGAGGAAGGCCUGCUGUGUAUCCUCUGCCUAAUGCAGCUACCCAACACAACUGCUAAGGCUGCCUUUCAGAGAGUGCAAAGGCUAGGUUCUGUUCCCAGGGCCCCGGUCAUGUGCCUUUACUGUCUAAUAAACUGAGAACUCCAAACCAUGAGCUAUUCACACAUACUCUCUACCUGGGAAAGACCCCUUUGGCUAGAGCUCAGUGGACAGACACGUCUGGAGAGACAAAAAUAUUGAGACUAGUGACCUAACUCUCACUUCCUAACUAAUACAGGACAGACCACCAGUUACUAAGCAACAUUAUUGUUAAGAUAUUCUUCACCAGCGUUUUUGCCAAUGCUGUCAUUUCAAUACAUUUUAAACUAGGGUUGUGCUUAUUUUGCUGAUCUCCACAACCCUCAACCCCUGCUUAUGUGUGCGUACACACACACACACACACCCUUCCUUCACCGAUGUAACAAGCUGGGGUAGGAAAACAUCUGCUUAAACUGAUAAUGAGUUCAUCAAAAUUUCUACUUUACCAAGAAUAACAGAUUUAAGACAAUAUUACCUAUAGGAGCCUAGAAACUCAAUUUUUAAUCUUCCUGACCCUAAAGAAAGCGCAGAAGUAUCCCCUUUGGCUUUUGAUUCUUCCAACUGGGGCCCAGGUUUUAUCUGUGUCAAUGACACUCUAAAUAUAGGAACUUUUAGUGACUCAGGCCAUUCAGAGGCACCAGAAAACUCCAGGCUGGGACACCAAACCCUCAUUCCUGAUCCAGUCUUUCAAAGCAUCCCAUAGCAUCUCAAAAUAUAAUGAGGGCAAUAGCAGAAAAAAAGUCCUCAAAUCAAAAUUACUUUUAAUCUGCUUUGAUUAAAUGCCUUUUAGCACUUUGUUGAGACAGAUGAAGAUAUUGUUACAAAAUCGAAAAGCAAGUGAUUCUCUAAUCUCAUUUUUGUUGCCAAGUUCCAGCUGACCUACUUUUAAGUUGCCCUGCAAAAUGUAGCCUCCACCCACUUCCUCCUCCUUCCUGUCCACAGCUCCUCUUGACCUCGGUGCCUCUCUUCCCUUCUGGUUCUUUUCUAUCUUUCACAGACUCCUCUUUCUCCUCCAACUGUUGUCUUUGGGAGGGUCUUGAAGUUGGCCUUGACAUCCUCUUCUUCCCUUGACCUGAUGAUGAGACCCCACAUCCUCAUGGCUUCUCCUUAUUCCUUUUGAAGGGAGACACCCAAAUCUCUAGCCAUGACCCCUCACCAACUCUCCAGUCCCCUAAGUCCAGGGUAAACAUUUGUCCCCUUUUGCUGGGACAGUCCCAAUUUAUGUCUUGUUGUUCCAACUUAAUUAUGAAGUUACUUACUUUCAGCCUCAGAAGGGUUUCAGACAAUCUAUGAUUUAGUCAAUAUAUUUUCAGUCACUCUACUUAAUAUGAAGAUUUCCCUAUGAACAUUUACUUGAUCCCAUGUAUCUUCACUCCUCACUAAACACAACUUCGUUCCAAUUUCUGUUGGUGUUCUGCUGCUUUUCCAUUGUUCAAAACUAGAAGCUUUGGACUUCCUGACUUCUCC